GAUGAACGCUGACAGAAUGCUUAACACAUGCAAGUCUACUUGAAUUUGGGUUUUUAACUUAGAUUUGGGUGGCGGACGGGUGAGUAACGCGUAAAGAACUUGCCUCACAGCUAGGGACAACAUUUGGAAACGAAUGCUAAUACCUGAUAUUAUGAUUAUAAGGCAUCUUAGAAUUAUGAAAGCUAUAUGCACUGUGAGAGAGCUUUGCGUCCCAUUAGCUAGUUGGAGAGGUAACGGCUCACCAAGGCGAUGAUGGGUAGCCGGCCUGAGAGGGUGAACGGCCACAAGGGGACUGAGACACGGCCCUUACUCCUACGGGAGGCAGCAGUGGGGAAUAUUGGACAAUGGACCAAGAGUCUGAUCCAGCAAUUCUGUGUGCACGAUGACGUUUUUCGGAAUGUAAAGUGCUUUCAGUUGGGAAGAAAAAAAUGACGGUACCAACAGAAGAAG
rnacentral:rRNA from 1 species